CCAUGCAUGUCUAAGUUCACACCCUCGUACGGUGAAACCGCGAAUGGCUCAUUAAAUCAGUCGAGGUUCCUUAGAUGGUCCAAAUUUACUUGGAUAACUGUGGUAAUUCUAGAGCUAAUACAUGCCCACCAGCUUCGACCCGUGCCGCAAGGUAAGGGAAAGAGCGCUUUUAUUAGUUCAAAACCAGUCGGGUUCUCUUCGGGGGCUCGUCCGUUGGUGACUCUGGAUAACUUUGUGCCGAUCGCAUGGCCUCGAGCCGGCGACGCAUCUUUCAAAUGUCUGCCCUAUCAAAUGACGAUGGUACGUGACCUGCCUACCAUGUUGGCAACGGGUAGCGGGGAAUCAGGGUUCGAUUCCGGAGAGG
rnacentral:rRNA from 1 species